rnacentral:rRNA from 1 species
UGGUGAAUAUUGGACAAUGGGCGCAAGCCUGAUCCAGCAAUGCCGCGUGCCGGAUGAAGGCCUUCGGGUUGUAAACUGCUUUUGUACGGAACGAAAAAGCUUCUCCUAAUACGAGGCGCCCAUGACGUUACCGUAAGAAUAAGCACCGGCUAACUACGUGCCAGCAGCCGCGGUAAUACGUAGGGUGCGAGCGUUAAUCGGAAUUACUGGGCGUAAAGCGUGCGCAGGCGGUUAUGUAAGACAGUUGUGAAAUCCCCGGGCUCAACCUGGGAAUUGCAUCUGUGACUGCAUAGCUAGAGUACGGUAGAGGGGGAUGGAAUUCCGGGUGUAGCAGUGAAAUGCGUAAAUAUGCGGAGGAACACCGAUGGCGAAGGCAAUCCCCUGGACCUAUACUGACGCUCAUGCACGAAAGCGUGGGGAGCAAACA